rnacentral:rRNA from 1 species
UUCCAGACUCCUACGGGAGGCAGCAGUGAGGAAUAUUGGUCAAUGGGCGAGAGCCUGAACCAGCCAAGUCGCGUGAGGGAGUACUGCCCUAUGGGUUGUAAACCUCUUUUGUCGGGGAGCAAAAGCCGGACGUGUCCGUCUGUGAGAGUACCCGAAGAAAAAGCAUCGGCUAACUCCGUGCCAGCAGCCGCGGUAAUACGGAGGAUGCGAGCGUUAUCCGGAUUUAUUGGGUUUAAAGGGUGCGUAGGCGGGACGUUAAGUCAGCGGUAAAAAUGCGGAGCUCAACUCCGUCGAGCCGUUGAAACUGCCGUUCUUGAGUGAGCGAGAAGUAUGCGGAAUGCGUGGUGUAGCGGUGAAAUGCAUAGAUAUCACGCAGAACUCCGAUUGCGAAGGCAGCAUACCGGCGCUCAACUGACGCUGAAGCACGAAGGCGUGGGUAUCGAACAGGAUUAGAUACCCCAGUA